GCACACAAAUUAUCUCUAACGAACGUUUGGAGGUGGUUUCCUUUUGCGUUUUAAUCUCCACGAUUCUUUCCACGCCGUUAUUCAGAAGUUAGCUUAAAAUGUCAGCUACAAAAGAAAGAGUUUCUACAAUAAUGACGGGAACUAGAAUAGUAUUCUACUAUGGAUUUAUUCCAACUAUUUUGGUUCUAGGCUUCAUGAAGGGAGCAGAUGAAGGCAUGCCACCUUUGUCAGUAUUUAGUUUGCUGUGGCAAUAGUUCACUAAGUGAUGGAGCCUUUUGUUAAGUGUUUCCAGUCCCAAUUUCCAUCUGUGCGGAGCCUGCUAUGACUGGUUCAGUAGCACAAAGUGCAGCCCAUUACAAAGUUAACAUUUAAAAGUGCUGCCAACUGCAUUCAUUUAUUGUUGACUCAAAUACAACUUUUUACUUCUGUUACUUUGAAAAA